rnacentral:rRNA from 1 species
CUACGGGUCGCUGCAGUAAGGAAUAUUGGGCAAUGGACGAAAGUCUGACCCAGCCAUGCCGCGUGCAGGAUGACGGCCCUACGGGUUGUAAACUGCUUUUAUACAGGAAGAAACCUCACUACGUGUAGUGAGCUGACGGUACUGUAUGAAUAAGCAUCGGCUAACUCCGUGCCAGCAGCCGCGGUAAUACGGAGGAUGCAAGCGUUAUCCUGAUUUAUUGGGUUUAAAGGGUGCGCAGGCGGAAUGAUAAGUCAGUGGUGAAAUCCUACGGCUCAACCGUAGAACUGCCAUUGAUACUGUCGUUCUUGAGUACAGUUGAAGUGGGCGGAAUGUGUCAUGUAGCGGUGAAAUGCUUAGAUAUGACACAGAACACCGAUCGCGAAGGCAGCUCACUAAGCUGAAACUGACGCUCAGGCACGAAAGCGUGGGGAGCAAACAGGAUUAGAUACCCCAGUAGUC